rnacentral:rRNA from 1 species
UACGUAGGUGGCGAGCGUUGUCCGGAAUUAUUGGGCGUAAAGCGCGCGUAGGCGGGUUGGCCCGUCUGUUGUAAAAACGCGGGGCUCAACCCCGUAAGUGCAAUGGAAACUGCUAUUCUUGAGUGCAGGAGAGGAAAGUGGAAUUCCCGGUGUAGCGGUGAAAUGCGUAGAUAUUGGGAGGAACACCAGUGGCGAAGGCGACUUUCUGGACUGUGUCUGACGCUGAGGCGCGAAAGCCAGGGGAGCGAACGGG